CGCGUAAAGAACUUGCCUCACAGCUAGGGACAACAUUUAGAAAUGAAUGCUAAUACCUGAUAUUAUGAUUUUAAGGCAUCUUAGAAUUAUGAAAGCUAUAAGCACUGUGAGAGAGCUUUGCGUCCCAUUAGCUAGUUGGAGAGGUAACAGCUCACCAAGGCGAUGAUGGGUAGCCGGCCUGAGAGGGUGAACGGCCACAAGGGGACUGAGACACGGCCCUU
rnacentral:rRNA from 1 species